UACGUAGGGGCAAGCGUUGUCCGGAUUUAUUGGGCGUAAAGAGCGUGUAGGCGGCCAUGCAGGUCCGUUGUGAAAACUCGAGGCUCAACCUCGAGACGCCGGUGGAAACCGUAUGGCUAGAGUCCGGAAGAGGAGAGUGGAAUUCCUGGUGUAGCGGUGAAAUGCGUAGAUAUCAGGAGGAACACCGGUGGCGAAGGCGGCUACCUGGACAGAAACUGACGCUGAGGCGCGAAAGCUAGGGGAGCAAAC
rnacentral:rRNA from 1 species